rnacentral:lncRNA from 1 species
AUUAUUUUUUAGUCCCUGAGGUUUAACGUAAUUAAUACUUAUGUCCCUCUAUUUUGGCGACCCAACACUUAAGUCCCUCACUUUCUCUUCCGUCCAAAUUCGUAGUCCUUCCGUCCAAAAUAUCCGUUUGGUCAAAGAGUCAAAGGUGAGAAGUGAGAAUUUUUUCCAAAAUUACCCUUAAUGAACUUAUUGAAACCCCUCAAUCUGAAAUCCCUCAAUCU